rnacentral:rRNA from 1 species
GACGAACGCUGGCGGCGUGCUUAACACAUGCAAGUCGAGCGGUAAGGCCCUUUCGGGGGUACACGAGCAGCGAACGGGUGAGUAACACGUGGGUGACCUGCCCUUAGCUCUGGGAUAAGCCUGGGAAACUGGGUCUAAUACCGGAUAUGACUCCAUGACGCAUGUUGUGGGGUGGAAAGCCUUGUGCGGCUAGGGAUGGGCCCGCGGCCUAUCAGCUUGUUGGUGGGGUGAUGGCCACCAAGGCGACGACGGGUAGCCGGCCUGAGAGGGCGACCGGCCACACUGGGACUGAGACACGGCCCAGACUCCUACGGGAGGCAGCAGUGGGGAAUCUUGCGCAAUGGGCGAAAGCCUGACGCAGCGGCGCCGCGUGAGGGAUGACGGCCU